UGCAAGUCGAACGAGAAGCAGGACUUCGGUUCUGUGGAGAGUGGCGCACGGGUGAGUAACGCGUGGGGAUCUACCCAGCAGUAAGGGAUAACAUCGGGAAACUGGUGCUAAUACCUUAUACGGCCUUAGGGCGAAAGAUUUAUCGCUGUUGGAUGAACCCGCGUAGGAUUAGCUAGUUGGUGAGGUAAAAGCUCACCAAGGCUCCGAUCCUUAGCUGGUCUGAGAGGAUGAUCAGCCACACUGGGACUGAGACACGGCCCAGACUCC
rnacentral:rRNA from 2 species